rnacentral:rRNA from 1 species
AGUGAACGCUGGCGGUAGGCCUAACACAUGCAAGUCGAACGGCAGCACAGUAAGAGCUUGCUCUUACGGGUGGCGAGUGGCGGACGGGUGAGGAAUACAUCGGAAUCUACUUUUUCGUGGGGGAUAACGUAGGGAAACUUACGCUAAUACCGCAUACGACCUACGGGUGAAAGCAGGGGAUCUUCGGACCUUGCGCGAUUGAAUGAGCCGAUGUCGGAUUAGCUAGUUGGCGGGGUAAAGGCCCACCAAGGCGACGAUCCGUAGCUGGUCUGAGAGGAUGAUCAGCCACACUGGAACGGAGACACGGUCCAGACUCCUACGGGAGGCAGCAGUGGGGAAUAUUGGACAAUGGGCGCAAGCCUGAUCCAGCCAUACCGCGUGGGUGAAGAAGGCCUUCGGGUUGGAAAGCCCUUUUGUUGGGAAAGAAAAGCAGCAGGUUAAGACCCCGCUGUUCUGACGGUACCCAAAGAAUAAGCACCGGCUAACUUCGUG